AUGGACGCAAGUCUGAUGGAGCAACGCCGCGUGAGUGAAGAAGGGUUUCGGCUCGUAAAGCUCUGUUGGUAGUGAAGAAAGAUAGAGGCAGUAACUGGCCUUUAUUUGACGGUAAUUACUUAGAAAGUCACGGCUAACUACGUGCCAGCAGCCGCGGUAAUACGUAGGUGGCAAGCGUUGUCCGGAUUUAUUGGGCGUAAAGCGAGUGCAGGCGGUUCAAUAAGUCUGAUGUGAAAGCCUUCGGCUCAACCGGAGAAUUGCAUCAGAAACUGUUGAACUUGAGUGCAGAAGAGGAGAGUGGAACUCUAUGUGUAGCGGUGGAAUGCGUAGAUAUAUGGAAGAACACCAGUGGCGAAGGCGGCUCUCUGGUCUGCAACUGACGCUGAGGCUCGAAAGCAUGGGUAGCGAACAGGAUUAGAUACCCUGGUAGUCCAUGCCGUAAACGAUGAGUGCUAAGUGUUGGGAGGUUUCCGCCUCUCAGUGCUGCAGCUAACGCAUUAAGCACUCCGCCUGGGGAGUACGACCGCAGGGUUGAAACUCAAAGGAAUUGACGGGGGCCCGCACAAGCGGUGGAGCAUGUGGUUUAAUUCGAAGCAACGCGAAGAACCUUACCAGGUCU
rnacentral:rRNA from 1 species